rnacentral:tRNA from 1 species
CAAAAUGUAGCUUAACUUUAUCAAAGCCCUUCGCUUACAUCGAAGUAAUAUCCGUGAAAUUCUGAUCAUUUUGA